GAUCAUGGCUCAGGAUGAACGCUAGCUACAGGCUUAACACAUGCAAGUCGAGGGGCAGCAUGAACUUAGCUUGCUAAGUUUGAUGGCGACCGGCGCACGGGUGAGUAACACGUAUCCAACCUGCCGAUGACUCGGGGAUAGCCUUUCGAAAGAAAGAUUAAUACCCGAUGGCAUAGUUCUUCCGCAUGGUAGAACUAUUAAAGAAUUUCGGUCAUCGAUGGGGAUGCGUUCCAUUAGGUUGUUGGCGGGGUAACGGCCCACCAAGCCUUCGAUGGAUAGGGGUUCUGAGAGGAAGGUCCCCCACAUUGGAACUGAGACACGGUCCAAACUCCUACGGGAGGCAGCAGUGAGGAAUAUUGGUCAAUGGACGAGAGUCUGAACCAGCCAAGUAGCGUGAAGGAUGACUGCCCUAUGGGUUGUAAACUUCUUUUAUACGGGAAUAAAGUGAGGCACGUGUGCCUUUUUGUAUGUACCGUAUGAAUAAGGAUCGGCUAACUCCGUG
rnacentral:rRNA from 1 species